rnacentral:rRNA from 1 species
AUUGAACGCUGGCGGCAUGCCUUACACAUGCAAGUCGAACGGUAACAGGUCUUCGGAUGCUGACGAGUGGCGAACGGGUGCGUAAUACAUCGGAACGUGCCCAGACGUGGGGGAUAACGAGGCGAAAGCUUUGCUAAUACCGCAUACGAUCUAAGGAUGAAAGCAGGGGACCGCAAGGCCUUGUGCGUUUGGAGCGGCCGAUGGCAGAUUAGGUAGUUGGUGGGAUAAAAGCUUACCAAGCCGACGAUCUGUAGCUGGUCUGAGAGGACGACCAGCCACACUGGGACUGAGACACGGCCCAGACUCCUACGGGAGGCAGCAGUGGGGAAUUUUGGACAAUGGGCGAAAGCCUGAUCCAGCAAUGCCGCGUGCAGGAUGAAGGCCUUCGGGUUGUAAACUGCUUUUGUACGGAACGAAAAGGCUCUGGCUAAUACCUGGGGCACAUGACGGGACCGUAAGAAUAAGCACCGGCUAACUACGU